rnacentral:lncRNA from 1 species
UUUCUAUAUUUUUAUUUAUCUUUGUAGUUUCUAGCCUUAGUGUUUUUUUUUUCUAGCUAUUUAUGCCUUCAUGAAGUGUCUUAGUUUUAGAGAUGUUUCAAUUUGCUAUCUAUUCUAGUUUUUUUCGUUCAGGUGAGUAGAGUAACUAAAGUAUUUUAAAAACAAUUAAUUAAUUUUCUUAUUAUUGACCCCGGGAUACAUCCUUUCAUACUCCAAAGCAUAUGAAACCGCUUGAACGUGGGGCAAAAUCUAAACUGUUGUUGUUUGAAUCCUGAAGUGCAUGAAAAUAAGAUAAUCUAAAUUCGAGGGCCAAAGAGUUUUAUAAAAUGGUGUAAAAAAACGUGAACGAAAGGUCCUACUAAAUCUAACUGAAAUUGGAUCCAUGAAUCUAACAAAAAGUAAAAAUUCUUGAUCUCUUUCAAUUUUAAAAUCCAAAUGUGCAAUCGCUGUCCCUUCAUAUUCCUUCCUCCUAAAUUUAAAAAAAAAUAAAAAUGAAUUGGCAUUGAUUUAUGCUACAGAUUUUAUUCAAUUGAAAUUUGUUAUUCACAGGUCAGAGAUUAUGUCUUGUGUUUGUUUUUUUAAUAUUUUUUAAAUGCUGUCUAAAUUUGUUUCAUUUUUGUUCAAGGUGACUAGGGCCAACGAGAAAGUUGACUAAAAGUCAUCGUCUUUAAACCUUUUGUCUCAUAAAGUUUUUAAUUCACUAUUUUUUUAACAUUUUCAUUCAACUUAUCUGGAUCUCAAUAUUCUGUCACAACUAUAACCAAGAACUAAGAAGAUCAUUAACUGCUCAGGUGCUUCAUAAUUAUUCAGAAGUCCUGCCCGAAAUCCUAGUUUUGCAAGCCUUCAUAUUUAUUAUCCUCACUACUUUCUGCAAGAUACCAUUGGAAAAUUCUAUGUGUUUUUUUUCUUGUUAUAUUUUGUGUUAUCUUUUUAGCUCAUCAAAAUAAUGUUACUUUGUUGUGUGAUGUCUUCAAGGACUUCCAUUUACAAGGUGGGAUGUAUUAAAAGGAAAAGUAAAACAAAAAAUUGAUAAGAAAUUAAAAAGAAUUCACGAGAAGCAACAAGACACCAAGGUGCAAAACCAACGCAAAGGUCGACUCAAAGUUGGACAAUUUGCCCUCUUAAUGGACACUGUCCAUCCCAUUUGGUUUGAACAUUUUUUUUGGGAUGUAUUAAAAUAUUUGUUCAUUUUUAAAAGUUAAUAACGAGAAAAAUAUUGUAGAUGUUUUUUUUACUAUUUCAGUUUUAAGUUGAUGUGAUAAUUAUACUUUUCACUUGUAGGUAAUUUUAUAUUGAUGAGGAGUAAUUUUAAAAAGUUUAAAAUAUCUAAAAUUUAGUUUUGUAACUCCUUUACAAAUUAAAUUCUCGAAAAGGGGACAAAUAAAAUUAGUUUUGUAUUGGUAGGGGUAUAAAGUAUGUAUAAUAGUCGUGGUAAUCAAAGUCCGGUGCGGUUCUGGUUAAAGUCUACUAACUGCCAAAACGUUGCACUUGAUACACAAUCUUAGGAGUUGUGCAGAGUCGGUUCGGGGUCAGUUCUUAGAACGACCAGAACUGACUCGAUCUUGAUUCAGUUCUCUCUUUUUGACCCAGAGAAUCGAACGACCGAUCGUCCAAAAAAACCUAACCGAACCAACCCGAGUGAGAUCGAUUCUGAUUUCUUCCUUUUUGGUUCUUCGGUUCGGCUCUUUCUCAAAAUAAGCCAUCAUAGCAAUAAUAGUGUAUGAUGAGUGUGCUGUAUUAUUAUAUGAUCGGGUCUAGCCUUUGGUUCCUUAUUCGAUUUCGGUUUGGUUUGGUUUGGUUUGGUUCGGUUCUGAGUAAAAGAUUUUUACAGACUUGAGAACCGAACCGAACCGGACAGGUCUAUAAUUUUCAGACCCAGAACCGAACCAUGAGCAUGAUAGAACAAAACCAAACUGACCUGAUGAGGUUGGAUUGAUUCGGUUUUUCAAGUAUUUGGUGCACCCUUCACAAAUCAACAUUUUAAUGCAACUUUAACAUAUUUCUUAAAUGUUUUAAUAAACUUAACUAUCACAUGAGACGGGCACAGUCGGGGUAUUUUGCAAGAUCUCCACAAAUUAGACCAAACUGCACUUCCCACUACAUGACUUGAACCCACCCCACCCAAAACCCGAAAAUUAAUUUUUUAAAAAUCUUUCAAACCAAAAAUGUACUAAAAUAAAGGCCCAAACAGUAUAAGUUAUAAAAUCAACUUCUUAUCUUCAUCCAAACAACAAAUAAGCAUUAAUUAAAUAAAAAGUUAUUUAACUUUCAUUAAAAAUAUUUUUUUUGAGAGAGAAACAACAUCACUAACAAACAUAUAUCAAUAUAUAUAUAUAUUAUAUUAUAAAUAAUUCACAUUAGUGUGUGUAUAUAUUUAAAUAAUUUAAUAAUUUAAAUACAUUUUUUUGGGUUCGGGUCUGGUCGGGUUAUGCUUUUUCGCUCUCGACCUGACCCCGUUGCGAGCCGGAAAAUUCUAACCCGACCGGCCUACCUUGACUAGUUGUGUUUUCGAGUUGAAAAAACCUACCCCAUAUGGGAUGGGGCGGGGCCCGGCUGGUCGGGUCAUAAUGACUAACCCUAAUCAUCUGCUAAACUGCGCACCUUAACAACAUUUUUCUCUCCAGGUCGAUGAUUAAUUAUUUAAGUGAUAUGAACAAUGUAUGUUGGUCAUUAGUCAGUAUUUCAAUUGUACCAAGUGAAUAAAUAUUUAUAUUUUUCCAAAUUAAGUUUUCAUAUGAUUCCAAUUAUACAUUAAUACUGAUGGUGCAUUAAUCUCAAAUUAAAACUAAACAUGAUUUCAUGAAUGAAAAGGUUGAAAAGAGAUCCAGCAUUGUUGUUUCGUCCCUAUCAAAGGAAACUCUCAAGUAGAGCCAAAGAAAAAAAGCACAUUAUUGACUUUUCCCAUGGGCUGAAGGUAAUUUUGUGGUUCUUGCUGGUUUUGCUUGGUUUUCAUUUAUUUUAAAUUUUGUAUUUCCAUGUUUAUGUAGGGUUGUAUCUAAAAUCUUCCAUUAAUAACUUUCAUAAGCUUUGGUGAAGAGUUCCAAAAAAUUAUAUUUAAAUAAAAUAAAUUAUAAAAAAAAGACAACUCUAUGUUGGGUUAACAUGUUGGUAUCUCAAUCUAUUUAAGAAAAUUUAAAACUUUAAUAAAAUUGCCUAGCCUAAGAACCGUGCAACAGAUGUUCUCUUUUGACUUGUCACUCCAAUAUGCAGCAACCACUCUGUUAGUUGUGAUAGUUAUGUUACUCGAUCUAAUUCUAAGAAAAUUCCACCAAUAGUAACAACCUUGUUUCAACCUCAAAGUUUUUCUUUGUUAAGUGGAGUACCAAGCAACAUGUAAGAGUCCCUUAUAAUGGGCAAGAAUAAAUUAUGGAUAAAAUACAAGUACAAGGACAUUGAACAAUUAUGUCAUCUUUUAUUUUUAUUUUCUUUUUAGAGAUGAAAAUGCAGUUUAGGGGUUGGAGUUGGUAUGAAUAAAAAAUGUUAAAACUCAUUUUUAACAUAAAAGAGUUAAAUGUGUCUCAAAAAUAGAGUUUUGAAGACUUUUGAGUUGGAGAUGCCCUUCAAGUUUUGAGUUAGGGUGGUUUGGGUUUCCGCUUGCGCGUGUGUGCGCACGCGCUCGCACGAGCACGCUGAUGAGGGUGAUUGUGGUGGUUGGUGGAAGGUGGUUUUCAACACUUCCAUGGUGAUUUGGGUGGGUGUGGUGGUGAUUUGGGUUUAGGUGCUGGGUCUUUGGUGGGCCUUGGCUUUCAGGGUGUGGGUUUAGAUUUUCUUUUAGGUUUUGUAGGUUCGGAUAUUUGAGUCAAUUAUGCCGUGUGUUCCAUAUGACGCCACUAAUAAAAUCUGUUCAACAAUUGGCCAAAAAUUAAUGAUUGAGGUUGAUGGCUAACACUCCUAUAAUUAAAAGGCGCAAUGUGCAAAAAUUAUUAAUUAGAGGGCCAAAUGGAAAUUGGUCAAUAAUUUAAGGAGUUAAAGUGUAGUUAACCCUAAACAAAAUGAAUAAAUGAGUUUUGUUAGCUAAAAAGCAAAAACUAGAGGGGGUUGAAAAAUAGGUUUGGGCUACUUUAAUGGGCAAAAUUAAAUUUACUUAACAAUAAUGUUACUAUGCACUCUAAUCAAAAUAUAAGCAAUAAUUGGAAGAGAGAAAUAGUGCAAAUAAUUUAUAGUGGUUCGGAGAAUUCUUGCCUACGUCCACUCUCCAUGUCCUCUUUGGGUAUCCACUAUCUUCAAGCUUGCGAGUGCUUGAAAAACCUUUACAACACUAGAGUGCCUCCAGUCUUCAAAAGAUUUCCUCUAUUGGAAUACAAUCACAAGAGAGCCUUUAGUCUUCAAGAGAAAGGCCUCUCUUGUAAGAUAAACAAUCACUCAAGGUGAUCCUCUCAAGAAUGAAGUAAGUGUCGUAGCAAUCAAAGCUCAUAACCUCUGUAAGAGAAAAAUAAACCACAGUUGCUAGCUCUCUCUAGAGUAAUUUUUUUCUUAUGAUCUUUACAAAUAUAGCUCACAAUCAAUGAUUAAGGAUUGAAAUAUUUUUCACAAGUGUGUAGAGAAUUUGUGGCACUUCAAUAUCUUUCCAACAACCCCAAGAGUUGCAUUUAUAAGCCAAAAAUGAGUUCUAACCGUUUUAGCAUUAAAUGCACUAAACUAGUCAUUUUGUUUUAAACUCAGCCAUAGGAUAUGUGAUUUUGAUGUGCAAGAUUAAAAUUCAAACUUCGUUCGUCAACUUCGAUCGUCCCCAAAUCUUUCUAAUCAACUUUUGGUCAUCAUCUCUAGGAGCUUCGAUUGACCCUUUAUAACUUCGAUCAUCCUUAAACUUUUUGAUCAAUUUUCGAUCAUUAGUUCCAAGAACUUCGGCCGAUCGAAUACUAGCUGUGGUUGUGCUCCAAACUCUAUGAUCAAACUUCGGUCGUGGUCUUUAAACUUCGGUCGUCAAGUUUUAGGGACUUUAGUCGAAUGAACUUGUGAUAUUUUUAGUAGUUUGACAGUUCUCUAUUUUCUUCAAAACAACAUAAUCCGUCAAUGAUCCGAAAUGAAUUUAUCCAAUUGUUUGAUACCUCUACAAGUUUCAUUAGCAUUAUAACAUUGAUUAUAACUUGUAAGAACUCAUGGUUUGUAAUUUGAAUGAUUAUUGACUCUUCUAUGCUUGAUUUUGAGUUUUUCUUUAAAAUGUGAGCUAGUCAAUUGAUUCUUUUUACAUCAAAAUCUCUUUUUCAAUAUUCAUGCUUAUAUGAGUUCAAACCAAGCUUGCAUGUCACUGUUUUAAGUUAAACGAAUGAUAGUUACACAUUUUGAACCAUAUGAAUUUGUUUGACUUUAUAUAAUGAUUUUCAAAAAGUAUUUAAACAUAUAUAAUGAUUUUCAAAAAGUAUUUAAAUAUAUAUAAGUUCAAUCAUUAAAAUCAAUUAUAGCCUUUAUUUUAACAAUCUCUCCCUUUUUUAUGAUAACAUAAUUUAGUUUUUAAAAAUUGACAUUCGUUUUGAAUUGACAUACUCCCCCUUAGUUUAAUCUCCCCCUAACUUCAUGUUUAUAAAAAAAUUCUCAAAUUUCAUGUCAUGACGUAGGUUUCAACUUUGAACAAAUGAGAUUCAUGGGAUAGAGUGUACCACAUCGGGUUUGUCGAGUCAUUUCCCAUUUUGUUCUUCAAUUUGCUAUAAGGAAUCCUCAAGUUAAUUCAAAGCAAUAGAUGCAUACUAUCAUAUACAACUAAUCCAUAUGAGAAUGAAAAUCAUUCAUAGACUUAAAAAGAAACAAAGAUAAGAUUAUCACAAAUUUCUAAGAUUAUCCAAAGCAUACUUAAAACUUAAAACGAAGUUUAGCAUACAACACAUAUAUCAAAAAGAAUCUAAUGCUAACUUCAAAACUAACUAACUAGCAAUCUUCUUUUCUUAACUAACUAGCAAUAGAAUCUAAUGCUAACUUACAAAAACUAACUAACUAGCAAUCUUCUUUUCUUAAUAAAAAUACAAGAGCAUUUAAUGCUAACUUACAAAAAACUAACUAACUAGACAAUCUUCUUUUCUUAAUAAAAAUACAAGAGCAUUUAAUGCUAACUUACAAAAACUAACUAACUAGCAAUCUUUUUUUCUUUUGCCCCUUUGGGGCAUCAUCACAACGAUAGGGGUGGAGGAGGAAAGGAGUGGAUGGAAGAGGAGAGGGCAGAGGAUUUGGCGAGAUCCAAUGGAAUUCCAUUUGAGUUUCAAGAGCAAUUGUUUGAUCAAGAUAUUGGUCAUGAAAGUCUAUUUGUUGUUGGUACAACUUCUCAUAGUUGUUUCCGAUCAACUCAAUAUAUGUUUCACAUGCAUUCUUGACAUAUGACACUAUAUUGUUUCAUUCGUAGCGUCAAAAUCCACAAAAUACUCCAAGAACUACGCAAGAGGCCUUUCUUGCAAUGGUUGACCUUCUUGUGAUGGAUUGCCGGCUUGUUGUUGAUGGCCUUCUUGAGGAUAAGCACUUGGAUCAGCAGGAAUGUCCUCGUCAUUAACAUAAGUGUCUAUAUCCAUUAAGGUGAUUGAUCAAUUAAGUGCCGACUCUUUUGACAUUUUUCAUAUGGUCCGGUAGCAAAAAUCUAUUCCUAAAAGUCUUUAUCAUAACGUGAAAAGACCUACAUCAAUGUGUUGGUAAAUGUUAAGUCCCUAAAAGUAACCUCAAAAAUUGCUCAAAGAUUAGAUUGAGGGCACAUAUAAAUGGUAGAGAAGUGAAUGCUUCUGGUUUCAAAGUCAGCACUCUAUAGAAUUAUGUAAUUUAGAUUUAGAGGAUCAUUGUUGUGCUUUACAGAGGAUAAAGUUGUCCAUAGUUGUAACGUGGUUGUAAUGCCCAUGUUUGGAAUUACAUUAUAGGUCAAUAAACUUGAAUAGUCAUAUUUGUUUCUUUUAAUCGUUGGUUUGAAGUGGACACCUAGCGAUCCAUUGAUUAAAAAGAUUUUUCAUUAAUUUCUACUCUAUCCACAUUAAUUCUUUCAAUUGCACUCAGUUAUUGGUGAUAGGUUUCCACCUUCAUUUGGAACACCAAUGAUUGUAUGACAAAAUAGGGGGUUUUUUUUUAAAAUUAUAUUCUUUCCUCAAAUCCAAGAAUCAAUGGUAAACUUGUCAUUUUUUAGAGUUCAUACUUCUAGAUUGCAAUAGAAUUAUCUUACCAAGUUCGAGUAUACGCUCGUUGGAAGAGGUGUCAGUGCGCUCCACCCUCGUGCUUCCACCGGUUCCAUAAUCUUAUGCCGGUAUUUUGGCAAAAACCCGUCUUCAAUAUUUCUUCCCGUGAUGAUAUUUCUAUUUGAGAACUCAAGCCAAGUGUUUUGAAUCUCUUCGUUUUAAAGAAUCGUCGUUUUAAUGACCGAUGAUUGCUUGGACAGCCCUUUGGAUCAUUAAUGCAUGCUAUGUUCUUGGGUUUAUCAUUUUUGAUGAUGAUUUUAUGGAAGAGAGGGAUGAAGAUUUGAGAUAUAGAGUGAGACUGAGAGAGAGAAUUUUGAGAGGAUGAGAAAGAUUUCUAGGGUUAGGGUUUUGUUUUAUAGGAAGAAGAAAAGAUAGAUAGAAAUAGAAAGCCCUAGGUUUAGAGAGAGAAAUAGAGAGGGAUUUCGGAGAAAGAAAGAGAAAAGAAAAAAGUUUUUAAAAUUUGAAAUCCAAAAAGUUUGUGUUUUUAUUAUCUUAACCAAACCGCUGCGACUUUUUGAACUUCGGUUGACAAAAGUUUGCCUUUCGCUCGACCGAACUUUAAAUUCGAUCGGCCGAACUUUUAGGAGUUCCUGCAGAAAGUUUGACAGAUAGACAACUUUGUGUUUUAGCCCUAAUGGUUCCAUUUUCUUGAUACCUAUAAGUCCUAAAUAUCAUAUAAAGUGUAUUAGAGCAUGAUUUGACUUAUGUUAGUGCUUGAUUCAAAAUUUGAUUACCCUACGCAAAUUUUGUAAGAAUUUAAGCAUAUAUAUAUCUAUGACAUGAAGCAUAUUUUAUAUUGUCGGAGAUAAAGUAUAUGAGAUACAUUUUAAUUUCGACUAUUCUUUUUCAAAUACAACUUAACUAGCAUUUAUAGAUUUAUUUAAGAAUCCAAAAGUAUCACAUUGGUUGAGACAUUUCAAGUUCACGUCAAAUAUAAAAAAAAUCUUUUCUCAUCAAAAGAUUUUGUGAAAAUGUUUGCUAAUUACUUGUAGGUAUGAAUAUAUUGAAGCUCAAUAUCAACUUUUUGGACAUGAUUUCUUAAAAAAUAUUAUCGAAUCUCAAUGUACUUUAUUCUUGAAUGUUGUAUGGAAUUCUUAGACAAAUUUAUAGCACUAGUGUUAUCAUAUUUGAUAGGAAUGUGAUCAAAAAAUAAACCAUAAUAUUUCAUUUGUUGUUUUAUCCAUAAAAUUUGAGCACAACAACUUUCGGCGGCCACGUAUUCAGCCUCGGCGGUUGAUAAGACAAUAGAGUUUUGUUUCUUCCUAAACCAGACACUAAGGAAUGUCCUAAAAAAUGCAAGUUGCUACUGUGUCUCCUAUUUACCUUUCACAGUGCCGGCAUAAUUGGCAUCGAAGAAACCAUUUAAUUUGUCACGACCCAAACUAUUUGUGGCAUGUGAGUCCACCCUUAGUAAAGUGUCAUUAUGACCGGUCAAUGAGGUUUCACUCAUAAGGGACUAACUCAAUUAGUUUAGAAAUUUUCCUACUAGGACAAGGUUUUUAUACCGAAUGGAAUAGUAUAGGGCAUAAAACUUAUUUAAAAUUAUCCAGAGUUGACGUGACAUACCAAAUAUACCCAAAUAAUUUUACUUAUUAUUGUAUAAUAUUUUACCACUACGAUUCGCGCCAUAAGAUCGGCACAACCGUCUAUCAAAAUUAAUAAUAUCAAACUAAACAUAUCCCUAUACUAAGUACAUAGCAUAGGACGUCAAAAAUCAACUAAGGUCAUCCACCUUUAGUCGUAUUUCACUUCUUUUUCAUUACUUGAAAUAUUAUGUACAACUAUAUCUUAAGCACUAGGCUAGUUUGAGUCAAGUUAUAUAAAACAUACUAUGUACAGUAAAUGAUUGGAUUCUUCUUCGAUUUUUCUUCUUUGCCAAAAUUCUUUCUUCCUUGCCUUCGAGAAAAUUGGCCAUUUUUGAACAUCUUAUUGAAUCUUCUUUUGAACAAUGUCAUUUUCUCAUCGCUAUCUUCAUCAUCUUUGAUUUCUUCAUUUAUUUGUGAUGAUGAAGUCUUGAAGACAAUUUUUCUUUUCUUGUUUCAUACUUUUAUCAUUACUCUUAAUGUGAUUCGCGUGUGUCAUGAGGGAGCUAAGUAAUUCAUUCAAGAUCCAUUUUGUAGGUCUUUUGCUUCGUCAAUGGUGGUCAUUUUGGUCCCACAUAUCUCUCUGGUAGAUACCUAAGAAUUUUUCUCACUAUUUUCACAUUAGUAUAGAUUUUUUCAAGAGAUUUUAGACAAUUAUUAUGUCGGUGCUAGUAAAUAUUUAAGAGAUUGUUUCAUUUGUUUCCAUUGAAUAAAUGGCUUAAGGUGGAGCCACUAUACCCAAACUGACAAACACCCAAGAUCUAAGAUCCAAAUCACCUAAUUACUACCUUUGGAAUACAACCGCUUGAGCUAAUAUUAAGUUGUUCAUCUUCAAUUUACAGACAAAUGUUUUCUAAUUAUGAUUCUUUUGCAAUUUUCUUAGGAAAAAUCUUAAAGUUGAUAAAAUAAGUAGUUGUAAAUAAAUAAAUUUAUCAUUCAUUCUCAAUUCCCAAAAAAUCAUUGUAAGAAGUUGUCAAUCUUGUCUCUAAAGUAAUCUAAUUUGAUCCAAUGUCAAAAGACCAUCUAAAUGUAAUAUUAACGAAUUGACUCCAUUGGUGUGAAAUAUUUUUUCACGAGGAUGGGCAAUAUGAAUUUCCCUACUGCUACUUACAUUGCGGAUCCCAUUCGGGGUAAUGGGUAAUGAACAAAAGGAUUAGAUGUUGGAUAGUAUAUAAUUAUGACGCUUACACAAAAUAUGUAACAAACAGGAUAAGUAGAGCUAAACGAAUUAAGCUGAUGGAAAGAUUUUGUUUUAGUGGAUUUUUCUCAUAAGUACGGCUUAAGCUGAGCAAGAUUUAUUUUAGUGAAUAUUUUUCAUAAGUAUGGCUGCUAGUGAUAAGUGGGGUUAUAAACGAAUUUAUCUUAGUGAACCUUUUUCGUGUUCUAAAUUAAGGUUUUAUUGAUGGAAGAUUAAGAAGAAGAAAGUGGGUGUACUACGAGUCUUGGGAUGUACUCUAAGGUAAGAGUAAAUGGUGAUAUUUAAGCAUUCUGGCUCCGUUUGGUAAUGCUUAAAAGUCAAGUUUUUUUUAAGUUUGUUAUUAAAAAGGCUCAGAUUUUUUGAUUUUUUUGCUUUUGUGGCUUUAUUUUAGUUAAACUAAGCAAAAAAGCAAAAACAAAAAAUAAAAAGCCAACUUUGAUUGAUUUUUUUGCUUAUUUUAAACAAAAAAAUAAAAAAAAACUAAAAAAAAAUGAUGCCAAACAGAACUUUUAUAUUGAUGAUUCGAUAUUUUUCUGCCAAGUAGCUGGUGAAAUUAGAUUGUAGUUAAGCAACACACGCAUGUCUAAUCAACUGCACAUGCAUGUCUAGUUGGCUGAAAUGCAUCAAACUUCUAACAAAAGUUUAAGGAAAUUCAUUAAAAGUAAUAAGACACCAAAAUCAAGGCAAAACUAAGUUCAAAAGUUAAGUAACAGUUGUGAAACAUUACACAUACUAAGCAUAUAUUACAGGACCGUGCUAAUUGCAACCGACUCAUUUGUGAACGGUGGUUAAAGGUGUAUUGAUUAAAAAGAAAUUAAAACUUCAAUAAGUAUUUAUACAUUUUGAGUGCACUUACAAAAUUUAUGUACUUUUUCAUUUAUUUCUAUAUAUUUGACUUAUUUCCUCUUUGGGCCGAUGAUUAAUUAUUUUAGUUAUAUUAAAAAUCUAUUUUGGUCAUUAAUUAGUCGGUUUUCAAAGUCCAGAAUAAUUGUAACAAAUGAAUAUAAUGUUUUAAUUUUGUCAUAUUAGUUUCAUAUUAUCUAACUAUAACCUUACUAUUGCCCUGGUCUCUAACUGAACUAACCUAAGGCCCGUUUUGAUAAGUGGAUAGGAUGAUAGGAUUAUAACGAGGUGGGAUUAUCAUUGUAUUGAUAAUGAGUGGGAUUAGUAUGAGGGCAAUAGUCCGACCGGGGAGUGUGGUUUGCACGGAAUUAGACAUUGAGAUUAGUAAAUAUCAAGAGGUAAUGUUGUCAAUAGUCCUUCAAAAAUUCCUAGAUUUUUUCACGACAUUUUUAUAUUUACCCUUUAAUUACCAAAUAUACAUAAUAUUAAGGGGUAAUUUGUCAAUUGAGCCCAUAGAGUAAGUAGUAUUGUUAAUACCAUGUCCCCGUGGUAUUACAAUACCACCAUUUGGGGUAUUUCAUACCCACCGGACGAUAAUCCGGCCAUUUUAUGCUCAAUCAAACGCGAGAUUAGGAGCCCUACGGAUUACUAAUCCCAAUCCCCCCACCCUGAUUAUCAAACAUGGCCUAAAUGUUUAGAUGGAAGUUCCUCUUUUCCAAAACUUGUACCUUUCAAGAAAAAUCUCAAGCAGAGCUAAAGAAGUAGGACCUUUCUAAUUUUUUCAUGGUUGAAGGUAAUUUUAUAUUUUCUUGGUUUGUUUUUGUUUUCCUUCCGAAUAUAAUCUGUGUGUAGUUUAAUUAUAUUUUUUAUUUCCAUGGAGUGUUGCAUCUUAAAUCUCUUAUUAAUAAUAGGCUAAUAGCUUUCCUAAGUAUUAUCCCAAUAAAUGUAACUUAUGUGGAAUCGAUGUUUUUAAAGAUAAAAUUUCAUGUAGUAAGUCUCUUUAACAAAUUUGCUUUUUCACUUGCCAAAGCUUAAAGUAAUAAGCUUGGCUUCUAUUAUAGAAUUAGCAAUAGUAUUAUACUAUGGAGAUUCUCGAAUGAAGAAAAUGAUCCAAUGACUUAAAAAUAAUUGAAUAAGGAACUGUAUGAGGUGAAAAUAUCACAACAUAGAAGAGUAAUUUGACCCAAUGCUCUAUCUAUACCUUAAUUCCAAUCAACUCUACAUAUAACACCACUUUCUAAAGUAAAAUAUAACUAGUAUAGAGAGAAAUCUCAAGGCAAAGUACUCUAAUUGGUAUAACUAUAUCCUUAAAGUAUUCUAUGAUAUUUCUUUUGUAAAACAAGCAAUAACAUUUGGUACCAAAUUAAUAUCUUUUAUUCCCAUGACAAGUCAAUGAUAGUUAGUCGACUUAAACAUACUAAGUACUCAAAUUAUAGAUGUAACGUCACAUCUAGCAUAAUCCGUUGUAAAACAUACCUUUAAUCAUACCAGCAUGUUUAUUUUGAUUAGUUACAUCUCUAUCAUUUAUAACAACAAAUAUAUACAAGCAUAAAAAUGCAUAGCAACAUGCUUGCAAUCAAAGUAAUUAUAAUUUUUCAAAAAAUUUUCUAAAAACAAUGGGACUGGUUGAAAGAAAUAUUUCUUCAAUAGUUUUAUUGAUUUUGUCUCUUAUAUUAACAUUGGCAAGUUAGAGUCCAAAAAAUUAGCAAUUCAUUUCCAACAUAGAGGCUACUACAUCACCACUCGUGCUGACACAUUGAGUAAACUGUAUUCAUUUGAAUACCCUUAUUUUUUAAUAUAUGUAUAGGUUAUAUAAGGAUUGGAAUUAAUAUCCACUAUUUGUAUCCCCUAGCUGAUAUGCAUUGGAUACCCAGCCUAUUUAAUUUGCACACCCGCUAAUCCAAUGCCCACAACUCAACCGCUAUCCACAAUUAAGCCCACAACUAGAAAAAACAACCCUUAAUCAAAAUAACAACCACCCAAUUAAAAUAUUUAGAAUGCUAGGACAAACUAGACAAAAGAAGAAUUAAGGGGAAUAAAGCAACACAAUACCUUUCUCUCAUUCCCCCUCCCCUCCCCCCCAAAAAAAAAAGAAAAAAGAAAAAAUAAUAGAUAAACUGCAAAAACCUUGGACAAUCAGGUCAUCUCUCAUUUUCAUUUAAGUAAAAAAUCAUAAAAUGAUUUUUUUUUUCCUUUUGGAGGGACAGGUGGUCCCAAUUGUGACAACACUAGCUAGUCACUAAAAAGUAGAAACAAAAGUAAUUUUUUUUGUAUAGCGGAUGAUUGUGAUCUGAAUUGAAGGAUGGGAAAACCUUUUGUCCAUUUGAAAUAAAAAAUCAUUGCCAUGAUAUGAAAGUCGAGUCAUGGAGGCACCUUUUGUGCCAUUUUAACACAAAUAGUUUUUUGCAAAAGUCAAAUGGUUCUACGACAAAAUACAAGUAAAAUUCAUAUAGUUUCUACUCUAUAGCCAUCUUAAAAACCUACAAUCUCAUAAGGCAUCAUUGGUUUUAGAAAUUCUUCAUUUUGCACUCUUAUUGAAACUUCAAAUUAUGCUAUUUUUUCAUGUUAUUCGUAGUUGUAUCAAGUCUUCGCCAACCUAUUUUGUGAGUUUGGGCGAUGCUUCUGGUUUCCAAUUUCUAAACACCAUCAAUUAUCCAAAAUAUGUCGAAGAAUUGGGAAAACCUCUGCAAGACACAUCUGAAUUGGGUACAACACUAAGAGAUAUAUCGAUGCACAACUUGGGGAACAGAAAGCACAUAAAACUCCACCAAAGAAUGCGAAGAAUGGAAAAAGAUGUUGAGGAGAUUGAAAAAAAUACAAACGAUCAUUAAAGUAGAGUGUGGAAGAUGAGAAGAAAUGCCUCAGAGGAUUAAUUUCCCUGACAUUUUGGCACGUAUGAAGCUUGGUGGACGAGUGAUAAAAUGAUUUUUGAGGUUGAAGAACUAUUAAGAAUCUAAAUUUAAAAUGGCUUUCCUCACUGAUUCAUUUCACCACCACUUAAAAUUGAGAAGAAGGUAGUUCCAGAUUCACUGACAAGCUUCAGCCUCUCACAUGUUAAGAAGGUACUACAAAUAAAAAAAAUUCCACGACGAGACCACUCCAAAGUUGGGGAUUUUGGGAAUGGGAGGAAUAGUAAGACAACUGUUAUGCAAACUCUUGAAUAAUCAACCAGAAAUCACAACAAUGUUUGAUUUGUCAUAUGGGUGACCGUCCACUCAAUCUUGGAACAUUGGACAAAUCCACGAGGAAUUUGGGAAGCGUUUUCAUAUAACAACUAACGAGUCACUGAGAGAGAUUGCAAGUAAAUGUUGCCGAAACUUGAGGGGAAGAAGGACUUUGUUGCUUUUAGAUUGAUGUUUGGGGAAGUUGGUUUAAGUGUUUAAGUGUUCCCAAAUGCCCAUCAAGAAAAUGGUUGCAAAGUUGUUUUGACAACCAGAAAAUUAAAGUUUGUCGCAAUAAUUGAAACUGAUGAUGAGAUCAAGAUGGAGGUUUUGCCUGAAAAAGAAAGCAUGGGAGAUGUUCAGUUAAAGUGGGCAAUGUUGCAAGGUCUCCACCUCAGACAAUAUGUCUAAAGAAAUAGUCAGAAAGUGUGGGGGCUUGCACUUGCAACUAAGGUUGUGGGUGGCGCUUUAAGAAAAGAAAAAUAAUGAGAAUAUUUGGGCAGUUCCUUAAAAACUUAAGAGUCACCUGCAAAAGGCUUUGAUUGAAGAUAUUAAUGUAUAGUGUUCAGCUCCUUAAAAAAGUUAGCUAUGACUACUUAACAAACAUUGAACAAAAGAAAUUGUCUUUUCUUUUGUGGAUUGUACCCAGAAGAUCAAAAGUUAAGAAUCUAAAUGUGAUAAGGUUAACGGAGAGCGAAGGGCUUCUUUCAGGUAAACUACUUUGGCACGCACGUGUUAAGGGCGAAUGUAAUAAUCUUGGAAGCCCUUAUAGAUGCGUCUUUGUUGGAAAAAGUGCGAUGAGAUGAUGACAAUGACUAUGUGAAGAUGCAUGAUAUGGUUCGAGACUGGAGUAGUGGCCUGACUUCCCCAAAAGGAGAGUGGGUGCUUACCUGGUGAGCGUUGGAAACUUCUACGGAGAGAUGCUAGAGGAUGAGGAAUGGGGAAAAGGCAAUAAGAAUUUCGUUUAGGAUAACCACUACUUGAGCAAUUGUCAGAAUCUCUGACUAUCCCCUGCUUCUGACAUUACUGAUUCGAGGUUGUUCAACCUAAAGGUGAUUCCGGAAUCUUUCUUCGACAAACAUUGACCAGACUCCAUGUCUCGGAUUUAUCUACCACUGUAUCAUUCCUUUUGCCGGUUUCGAUAUCUAAAUUGGUUACUCUUCGUGAGUUACUUCUGCGAUGCUCCUUAUUGAAUUUUUUCUCCCUGUGGAGCUAAGGCGAACUCAAGGCACUUGAGGUGCUUGGAAAUCACAGGAGCUCACGUGGGCUCAUCUACACUUUGGAUUUUGAAAUAAAUGACCACUCUUAAAAGAUUGAAGAUUGCCACUAUGAGAAGGUCGGGUGACAAUUUUGUUGAAAGUGAGGCAAGUUCUAGUUUCUGGGUUGAUAAGCAAGAAUCUCAGAUGGAAGAAGAAUUUGUGUUCCAAACUUUUUGUAUGACUUUGGGGUAAGUGAUGAAAGUGAGAUAUUGUCGCAAGGGAGCUGAGCCGCUUUAGUUCACUUUCUGUCAUUGAUAUUUAAGUUUCUGAGUGUAAGUAAUCUCCAUACUUCCUUCAAACAGUAGAUCAUGGAGAAACAGAGAGAAAAUUAACAGAAUUCGGGUUCCAUAUUGACCCAAGAGAGAUCAGUUGGGUUUCGCGAAGGUACAAGAAAUGUCUCACUAUAAGGCAGCGCGAGGAAGAAAAAUCAUCGCAUCGCUGCGGCAAUCGAGGAUUGUACUCAGUCGUUGAAUUAGUUUUGGAUAGGUGUGCCAGGGAGAACUUAGACUCUGUGAUUGCGGCGCAAGAACACUUGUGAGUUAAAAUGCUGCCGUGUCUAUUCUUGCGACAUGCUUGAAAAAUGUGUGACGGAAACGGGUUUAGAAAGGAGGCUUUUCGGAAUUUAGAAAUUUUAGAAUGGAUAAUCUGAGGAAUUUAAAGGCAUUCUUGAGAUGAAGGACCACCACCACCACUGUCAUGGGUCGUAACAGCUUUAACAGGUUGCGGAAUUGAGGUUAUGCAGCUGACCAAUGAUGAAGCAUGUCUCUCAAAUGGAUUCACGAUAGCAAAACUAUCGCAACUUGCAAUUUUGGACAUCCGACUGUUCUGGAUGGAGAGGGGAUGCUUUAGAGGAUGAGAAUGUGAAUAUGGAGGCUCUACAAAUUGAAGGAGGUGUUAUGUGGUGUAGGUAUUUACAUAAAUUUGUUAGCUUUUCAAAUGGAUUGCCAGGGGUUGGAAAUCACUGGAGUGAGGCGGCGUGGACAUGUCUUGUCCGAAAACUGAGAAAACUCCCUUUGGAUGUCAACAGCGCAACCCAAUUAAGAAGAUCUAGAGGUAGCAGAAAUUGGAUGGGAUGCAAAUAGAGUGGGGGACACACAGUGCCACAAAAUAAAGAUUUCAACCUCUUCGAUUAGGAUUUGUGUAGAAAAUUUACCAUAGAAUAUAUUAUUGAAUAUCUCCCUAAUUGAUACUCAGAAUAUAUUCUGAUACAAAAUAUAUUCUGAUUGAUACGUUACUUUAUUUACAAUAUUAUUGUUUCCUUAUGUAAACUCAAUAAAAUAUACAGAAAUUCUUCAUCUCUCUUUCUCUUUCUACAAUUUCUUCUAACAAUUAUUAACAUAUGAGAUCUUUUUCCCACCCACUAAUGGUGAUACUCCCAAAGCCCUGCAUGUAAAUUACUUUUAUGAGAAAAGGAAAAAAACUAUUUAGGAUGAAGGACAAUUUGUGAUCAGUAGUAGACUAAUCCGGAUUGUAAACUAUAUAUGUCUGUUAUGUGUUGUGUACUUUAAUAUUAAAAUGUUUUAUUUUAUUAUAUUCUAUUAUGUCCAAAUACAUAUAUUUACAUGCUGAAAUAGUGGGAGGAUAUGUAAAGACAAAAAAUGCCUCUUGAUUUGUUACAGUUGUUGGCCACUAUCCUAUUGAAGGAAGUGAGGAGGUUAUAAGGCAGAACUUUUGAAUUAUUUUUAGAGCUAUUUUAUCAUUUAUGACGCUCAUUAUUGUUGUUUUUUUAAACUAUAAAUAUCUAUAUUUAUUGUCAUAAUAUUUAUUUUAAUAUCAAGUGACUAAUUUAGCAAACGGGUGUUUUUUGGGUGGAGCUUAGGUUUAUCUCCUCGUGCAGGAUGGAUCCAAGUCACACCACAAUUAGUUUAGUUAUGGAUGGUUGUGUCAUGUGCGCUAUAUUGGCUCUAUGUUUUCCUUGCUUUUUGCUAUGGGAGAUUUUUAUCUUGUGGGCUAGGUUUGUGUGUAUUUCGUCCAGGGUAGGAUUGUGUACCAUCGGUUGGGUUACGCAUUGGCCAUUGAGUUUUCAAGUGGCAAUUAUAAUUGGUGGGAUGCACUAGAGUGGGACAUGCCACCAAAUUACGCUUUUAAACUCUUCUCAUUCAGGUAAGAGAGACUUUGUUUAGGUUUAUAGGUACUCCAUUUCAAUCGGCCAUAAUAUUUAUACUCAUCGUUGGAUUGUGUCAGAUGAAUAAAAUGUGUAAUUUACCACGAAGGAACCACCAUUUUUGUUAUUUGAGGGAAGAGAGUGGUAGGGGGUGGGUAUUUAAGAAGAGUUGAGUCAUUUCAAAAAUAAAAUUUUCAAAAGUAAUUUUGUUAA